rnacentral:rRNA from 1 species
CUAUACAUGCAAGUCGAGCGAAUGGAUUAAGAGCUUGCUCUUAUGAAGUUAGCGGCGGACGGGUGAGUAACACGUGGGUAACCUGCCCAUAAGACUGGGAUAACUCCGGGAAACCGGGGCUAAUACCGGAUAACAUUUUGAACCGCAUGGUUCGAAAUUGAAAGGCGGCUUCGGCUGUCACUUAUGGAUGGACCCGCGUCGCAUUAGCUAGUUGGUGAGGUAACGGCUCACCAAGGCAACGAUGCGUAGCCGACCUGAGAGGGUGAUCGGCCACACUGGGACUGAGACACGGCCCAGACUCCUACGGGAGGCAGCAGUAGGGAAUCUUCCGCAAUGGACGAAAGUCUGACGGAGCAACGCCGCGUGAGUGAUGAAGGCUUUCGGGUCGUAAAACUCUGUUGUUAGGGAAGAACAAGUGCUAGUUGAAUAAGCUGGCACCUUGACGGUACCUAACCAGAAAGCCACGGCUAACUACGUGCCAGCAGCCGCGGUAAUACGUAGGUGGCAAGCGUUAUCCGGAAUUAUUGGGCGUAAAGCGCGCGCAGGUGGUUUCUUAAGUCUGAUGUGAAAGCCCACGGCUCAACCGUGGAGGGUCAUUGGAAACUGGGAGACUUGAGUGCAGAAGAGGAAAGUGGAAUUCCAUGUGUAGCGGUGAAAUGCGUAGAGAUAUGGAGGAACACCAGUGGCGAAGGCGACUUUCUGGUCUGUAACUGACACUGAGGCGCGAAAGCGUG